AAAACGACUCUCGGCAACGGAUAUCUCGGCUCUCGCAUCGAUGAAGAACGUAGCGAAAUGCGAUACUUGGUGUGAAUUGCAGAAUCCCGUGAACCAUCGAGUCUUUGAACGCAAGUUGCGCCCUAAGCCUUUUGGCCGAGGGCACGUCUGCCUGGG
rnacentral:rRNA from 2 species